rnacentral:rRNA from 1 species
GACGAACGCUGGCGGCGCGCCUAACACAUGCAAGUCGAACGAGCGAGCGAGAGCUUGCUUUCUCGAGCGAGUGGCGAACGGGUGAGUAACGCGUGAGGAACCUGCCUCAAAGAGGGGGACAACAGUUGGAAACGACUGCUAAUACCGCAUAAGCCCACGAAAUGGUAUGGGGUAGAGGGAAAAGGAGAAAUACGUGUUGAGAUGGCCGCGUGUCCGAUUAGGUAGUUGGUGAGGUAACGGCCCACCAAGGCGACGAUCGGUAGCCCGACGGAGAGGUUGAACCGCCACAUUUGGACUGAGACACGGCGCAGACUCCUACACACAUGCCCAAUUAAUAAUAUUUCAACAGUAAGGAAACCCUGAUGCAUCGACGCCGCGUGGAGGAAGAAGGUCUUCGGAUUAUAAACUCCUAUUUUAUAAGACUAUAAUCACUUUCCUCCACAAGAAAGUGACGGCUAACUACAUG